GAGGAUACCUUUUCUCUGUAAGACUUUUUCGAAGAGUCGAGUUGUUUGGGAAUGCAGCUCAAAGUGGGUGGUAAAUUCCAUCUAAAGCUAAAUAUUGGCGAGAGACCGAUAGCGAACAAGUACAGUGAUGGAAAGAUGAAAAGAACUUUGAAAAGAGAGUGAAAAAGUACGUGAAAUUGUUGAAAGGGAAGGGCAUUUGAUCAGACAUGGUGUUUUUUGCAUGCACUCGCCUCUCGUGGGCUUGGGCCUCUCAAAAAUUUCACUGGGCCAACAUCAAUUCUGGCAGCAGGAUAAAUCAUUAAGAAUGUAGCUACUUCGGUAGUGUUAUAGCUUUUUGGAAUACUGUUAGCCGGGAUUGAGGACUGCGCUUCGGCAAGGAUGUUGGCAUAAUGGUUAAAUGCCGCCC
rnacentral:rRNA from 1 species